rnacentral:rRNA from 1 species
UGCCAGCCGCCGCGGUAAUACGGAGGGUGCAAGCGUUAAUCGGAAUUACUGGGCGUAAAGCGUGCGUAGGCGGAUCGACAAGUUGGGGGUGAAAUCCCGGGGCUUAACCCCGGAACUGCCCUCGAAACUGUCGAUCUAGAGACCGGGAGAGGUAAGCGGAAUACCGAGUGUAGAGGUGAAAUUCGUAGAUAUUGGGAAGAACACCAGUGGCGAAGGCGGCUAACUGGCUCGGUACUGACGCUGAGAUGCGAAAGCGUGGGGAGCAAACAGGAUUAGAUA